rnacentral:rRNA from 1 species
AUUGAACGCUGGCGGCAGGCCUAACACAUGCAAGUCGAGCGGAUGAAGGGAGCUUGCUCCUGGAUUCAGCGGCGGACGGGUGAGUAAUGCCUAGGAAUCUGCCUGGCAGUGGGGGAUAACGUCCGGAAACGGGCGCUAAUACCGCAUACGUCCUGAGGGAGAAAGUGGGGGAUCUUCGGACCUCACGCUAUCAGAUGAGCCUAGGUCGGAUUAGCUAGUUGGUGGGGUAAAGGCCUACCAAGGCGACGAUCCGUAACUGGUCUGAGAGGAUGAUCAGUCACACUGGAACUGAGACACGGUCCAGACUCCUACGGGAGGCAGCAGUGGGGAAUAUUGGACAAUGGGCGAAAGCCUGAUCCAGCCAUGCCGCGUGUGUGAAGAAGGUCUUCGGAGUGUAAAGCACUUUAAGUUGGGAGGAAGGGCAGUAAGUUAAUACCUUGCUGUUUGGACGUUACCAACAGAAUAAGCACCGGCUAACUUCGU